CACGUGCACACAAAACAGUUCUCCAGA
rnacentral:piRNA from 1 species